AGGCCAGGAUAGCGGUCCACGGGCCCUUGGCCUGAGGAAACACCGCCCUCUCGGUGGCGACCGGGCCCUGAUGGGCUGGGGCAAUACCCCAGGCAACGGUACAGAAACGACACGGCCUCCACCAGAUGUUGAUGAUGUGGUAAGGCCUCCUUGGUAACAAGGAGGCAGAAAAGUCACGGAAGAUGGUGGAGGAUGCGAUGAAACGACCGACCCCGGUGGAGCAAGGCUGGGGGUGAUGAAGAGCCACGUAAACCCCCAAAGGCCGCAGAGUCAAAUGCCGCAAUACAGAAGGCGGGUUAUUAUCCUGGCCU
rnacentral:RNase_P_RNA from 1 species